rnacentral:rRNA from 1 species
GGCUCACCAAGGCGACGACGGGUAGCCGGCCUGAGAGGGCGACCGGCCACACUGGGACUGAGACACGGCCCAGACUCCUACGGGAGGCAGCAGUGGGGAAUAUUGCGCAAUGGGCGAAAGCCUGACGCAGCAACGCCGCGUGCGGGAUGAAGGCCUUCGGGUUGUAAACCGCUUUCAGCAGGGAAGAAGCGAAAGUGACGGUACCUGCAGAAGA